rnacentral:rRNA from 1 species
UACGGAGGGGGCAAGCGUUGUUCGGAAUUACUGGGCGUAAAGGGCGCGUAGGCGGCCUGCUAAGUCGAACGUGAAAUCCCUGGGCUCAACCCAGGAACUGCGUCCGAUACUGGCUGGCUUGAAUCCGGGAGAGGGAUGUGGAAUUCCAGGUGUAGCGGUGAAAUGCGUAGAUAUCUGGAGGAACACCGGUGGCGAAGGCGACAUCCUGGACCGGCAUUGACGCUGAGGCGCGAAAGCCAGGGGAGCAAACGGG